rnacentral:piRNA from 1 species
AUAACAGAAAUACAUUCCCCAUUUU